rnacentral:rRNA from 1 species
CGUGGGUAACCUGCCCAAGAGACUGGGAUAACACCUGGAAACAGAUGCUAAUACCGGAUAACAACACUAGACGCAUGUCUAGAGUUUAAAAGAUGGUUCUGCUAUCACUCUUGGAUGGACCUGCGGUGCAUUAGCUAGUUGGUAAGGUAACGGCUUACCAAGGCAAUGAUGCAUAGCCAAGUUGAGAGACUGAUCGGCCACAUUGGGACUGAGACACGGCCCAAACUCCUACGGGAGGCAGCAGGC